rnacentral:rRNA from 1 species
UGAAGACGACGACGUUGAUAGGCCGGGUGUGUAAGCGCAGCGAUGCGUUGAGCUAACCGGUACUAAUGAACCGUGAGGCUUAACCUUACAACGCCGAAGGUGUUUGG